UCCCUGGUGGCUCAGAUGGUAAAGCGACUGCCUAUAAUGCGGGAGACCCAGGUUCAAUCCCUGGGUCGGGAA
rnacentral:tRNA from 1 species